UACAGAGGUCUCAAGCGUUGUUCGGAUUCAUUGGGCGUAAAGGGUGCGUAGGCGGCGCGGUAAGUCGGGUGUGAAAUCUCGGAGCUUAACUCCGAAACUGCAUUCGAUACUGCCGUGCUUGAGGACUGGAGAGGAGACUGGAAUUUACGGUGUAGCGGUGAAAUGCGUAGAUAUCGUAAGGAAGACCAGUGGCGAAGGCGGGCCUCUGGACAGUUCCUGACGCUGAGGCACGAAGGCGAGGGGAGCAAACGGG
rnacentral:rRNA from 1 species